rnacentral:rRNA from 1 species
UACGUAGGGUGCGAGCGUUAAUCGGAAUUACUGGGCGUAAAGCGUGCGCAGGCGGUUUUGUAAGCCAGAUGUGAAAUCCCCGGGCUUAACCUGGGAAUGGCAUUUGGGACUGCAAGGCUCGAGUGCGGCAGAGGAGACUGGAAUUCCUGGUGUAGCAGUGAAAUGCGUAGAUAUCAGGAGGAACACCGGUGGCGAAGGCGGCAUCCUGGACCGGGAUUGACACUGAGGCGCGAAAGCCAGGGGAGCAAACGGG